CCUAAAGCCCUUUGAGAAGGGUUUGUAGGGGAGGAAGACAAUUCCUCUAUCCCCUAGGUCCUUCUGGCUGGUCUAAGAUUUAAACUGACAUGAGACAGAAUAACAGGAGAAAAUCAAAGUUUGACAACGUGAAUACAUGGGAGAAACCCAGGAAAACCAAGUAACUCACCAAAAUGGCUGAAGCCACCACCUUAAUAUCAUCUUCAGCUAAAGACAAAAGAAGAUGUUGGGGGUAGUGGAUUGGGACUUUGAAGGAGAGGAAGGCAAUUCACGUGGAGAUUGAAAAGCAAAUAUUUGGUAAACAAGUGUUUGCUGGGCCAUCUAUAGACAACAAGACCCAUGAGAGAACUUUGGUAAAAACGGCUGUAGCAAGGAUCCCCCUGUCUACCACACCUAGUUUACAUUAUGCUAUAGUUAUCUUAUGGUAUUAGCUCCUUCCUGGAACAGGCCUGCUAUCUUAAAUUCUUUUAGGCAGUUAGGGGGAAGGUCAAAGUUUCCUUCAGAGUCUUCUGUUCUUGAAAAUAAUCAAGCCAAAGAGAUACAUUUUGGGGUGGCCAAUUCUGAUCCCCCACAUGUUCUAAGGGAGAAAGAGUAGAGUAAUACCUGACUCAUGCCUGCGAAAGAGAAACAAACUGGCUAAAGCUGCCUGUGUCUUUGGAUUAGAGUGGGGAAGUGAAUUGGACACCCAUUAUGUAUCUCUUCAAAUUCUCUAGGCUUCACUUCUUAUUCCAGCUAUGCAGGCCUCAACCAAUUUUGGGAAGUAAAAAUUGACUGUACCUUACCUUGAACCUGUUGCUUCCUGUGCUGGGGCUUCUCUGAGGCUGUGGCAUGGGAUAUAGGACCCCACUGGGCACUAAUGCACAUGGCUCUUGGACUUAUGGGAGAGAUAACACUCUGGGGACAACAUUGAUCAAUAGGGGAUGGGUGUUGCCAGAUAACUUUGUCUCCGUUUCUUCCCCUAGGUGGCUGGUUCUGAGAUGGAUUUCAUAAGACUACGUAGAAGGUUCUGCAGGAAUGAAUUGCCCAUAGCAGUGGCCAGUGCAUCUGUGGGUGUAAUGACACCCCAAAGAUGGCCAUGUUCUUAUCCCGGAAUCUGUAAAUAUGUUAUCUUUAAUGGCAGAAGGGACUUUUCGGAUGUGAUUAAGUUAAGGAUUUUGAUAUCUAGGACAUGUGCAGUUGGUUCAUCUUAGAUUCCAUCCAAGAUGGCAUUGGAAGGGAAAGAAGGCCUCAACUGAAAGAUGCUCAAGUGUCCCCAGUGACCAGGGAUGGAGGGAAAAGCUGCAAGUGGCUACCCGGAGGACACUCCCAGGUCAGAGCAUUGUGACAGAGGAGCUGAGAACCAGACAGAGGAUGAAGAGGUAAUCCAGAGAUCAGUAAGAGCAGGAAGCCACUGCCUUCUGAGGUUGGAGGACAAAGUGAGAGGUGGUGUUACUGGAGCCCAGGGGCUAGGGCUGCUGGAAAGAAGCUGGAAAUCAGGUGGGGCUUUUCAGGAGGACUCGAUCUUCCGAGGAAGCGCAGCCACUGCUGGAGAGGCCUCUGGAGGCGAAGUGAGAUUGAGAGAAGUACCCUGGCUUCUCCCUUCCCUCCCACUUUCUCUUCCCCAUUCAGCGCCUCCAAUUCAUCAAACCCAAAGAAGCCAGCUCAGCUGAAACACAGAGCAGGUGGAGUGAGGGAUGGAUCUGAGAGAAAACAGAAGUAGGAUUGGCAUAGAACAUGUUGCCAAAGAGCCUAUGAAGAAACACCCACGGAAGAAAGAAUCCGUUUUAAAUACUUGCCAAUCUCUGUGGAAACCAAUUCCAGAUUGGAGCCAAUGGGGCAAAAUUUUUUCCUGUCUUUAGCUCCUUUCUCUCUCUAUGCCGCAAGCCCUCAGGGGUCAGAGGCUGUAGCCAGUAAAUUGAGUAUGUUCCUGGAGAUGCUGACAGAAUAAAAGAGGAAGAAUCUGCCUUCUGCCUCCUUUUCCACUGCUGGAUUCCCACCCACCACGGGCUUGAGCUAGGGGAAGUAGAAGAUUUAACUCUGAAUGAAAUUCGGGCUUUCAGUUAUUACAUUGGAGCACACAUUAAUUACUAAAACAAGUCUGUUUUAGGCAGCACUGACACGACUGAGGACAUUAUCUGAGAUAAUAACCUAUGCGGCCAGAUAACCUACGGGGCCUGCCCUAGAGUUCAUCUAAAGUAGUGGGAACAAAUAAGCCUCCUCAUGCUGAACAGUUAUGCAAAGAAAGUUGUGAGAGAAGAACACAAUUUAGUUGUGUUAGAACCCUUUUAAUCCCAUCUAUGCAUGGGAAGCUUUGUGACUGGUCUUUUUGAAGCUCUUCUCACUUGACUAGAGGUGACAACAAAGAUUCCACACUCCUCCCUUUAUACUCAGUAGUGGGUUGGGGCCAAUGGUCGUGUAAAUGCUUUUUCUUUUUUUUUUUGCUACCUCCACCAUAGGAACUGAAAUGUGGGAAUGGUUGGCCUCUAUUAUUUUGGGGGCUUCAGCCACAACUCAGACUAAAACAUUCUAUUUUAACAUUCUUUAAUAGUCAUACUUGGAAUGAUUAAGUCUUUAGCGUCAGUAGAAAAGAAAGAGUGUAUAAGAUAUGUUUAGUUAUGAAAAUAUAAAGAAAGCACUACCUAAGAAUACUCACCUUUUGUGAUUGUUGAAAUUCAUGUCUCUUCCACGUGGACACUUGUCUGGAAUUCUGAAGAAUCCUGUAUAAGGCACACCUGCUCCACAAACUAAUAUAAUUCUAGAUGAGAAUUGGAACAAGUCAGCUUGAAAUCAGAGUCGUGACCCCAUGAGAAAAACGAUGCACAGCAAGGAAGUCGAUUCUCAGAAGUCCCUGCUGAUUUUGGAACAGAGACUGUCAUAAGCCCAUGAUUGAAGGUGUUAUCACAGAAAGGGGUGGGAAUGGAAAGAUCCCAACUUCAGAUACUGAGGUACUGAAAGUAUUGAAUCUCUUCUUGGAGAGGGAAUGCUGUAUGAUCUUAGAUGAGAAGUAUGGAGGGCUGGGACAUAUUAGGAGGGUCUUCACUUUGAAGGGAGCGAUUGACCCCUAAUUAGGCAAAGAAGAGAUUUUAAAGGUAGGAAUUGAGAUGUUAAAGCAGCCUUGGGAGAUCUGGGGAAAAGUGAGAGAGGAUCCAGAAAGUAGAGCCAAAAACUACCUUUAAGACUAGGUGAUCACACCUCAGAGACUCAGUAACUCUGGGGAGGAGGAGGGAUUGGCAAGAGAUUGGGCUGGUAUUUCACCCAAUACUUUUCUCUGCCUUUAGGCAAGAAAACUGCUCAUCCUUAUUGAGCAAGAACUACCCAAAGUUUGUCCACUGUCAGGGGAAGCCAGGCCUACAUCUGGACCAAGCAAUCUUGUUUGGGUGGAGUGGAUGAGGUCAGUGAUGCUGGGAGAAAGGGGAGUGUCCUGAGAAAACAAGUAGUGAUUCUCUAGUGGAAAAGUAUGAGCACUUCACCAGGAUUUAGGCCCAACCUACAUGAUUUUGGCUAGCCUAGUACUCUGAAGAAACAGAUUCCAGAUGUUAACUUGGUUCCCACAUUCUGGGAUGGGCAGGUUGUGUGGGGUGCAGUAAGAUGCCAGCAAAUGUCAUUUAUAGGAACGCAAAGUUUACUUUGGGAGAAAUGGAGCAGAGUGCCGCGUGUGGGUGCGUGCACGUGCGCACACACACACAAUUUACAGGGAAGAAAACGAAUGAAAAGGCUCAGCAGACUAGGAUUAGAGCGGUCAGCGUUGGAGUGUGGUGUUAGAGGAAUAUGCACGGAUUGUGACACUUGGGGAGGUCUGUGAGCCAUGCAAUGAGAGGAAUGCGUUUGGAAGGAAUCACAUUAAGAAGAGCAGAGGAUCCUUGAGAAUCUGCCAGCUUCUGCCACGUGAACACUAUUGAGGGAAUGGUGGCCCAGUCAAUGCCUGCCCAUCUCCAUCCGUGUGACUGAAGCCUGCAACAGGAGAGGAGCCACAACAGCUAUCCUUCUAGUAGAUAUCUGUGAGGACCUCCAUCAAGAGCUGAUGUAAUAGGCAAAAGCGAUGCCUGCUCAGCUCUGUCUGAACCCCUCAGUAUGGAUCUCCUCUUUGGAGUGACCCAGAACACUUACAAGUUCCAACGUCACUCCCAACCUCAUCUACAGAAUACAAACAAACACAGAAAUUUAGGCCCUUGACAAACAAGGGAUGUGGGACACGGGAGAGAAAACCCUAAGGCCUUUGUUUGGUGUGACUGAAGAGAAACGACUUGAUAUUCUUUCCCAGAGCUAGGACAUGCGGAAACACGGCCCUGUGUACCAUCUCUGUCACAUGAGCAACAAAAUCACGUUUUCUGAAGUCAUCUCCCUACCCCAUAACUCACAUUGCUAUUUUAAUGAAAGCAAUUAAUAUUCUACUUCAACUUGGAUUUUUAAAGAGGGCCCAAAAUAUGGCUGUCACCAAGAUUUUUAUCAUUUGCAUUUCUCUUUGACACCAUAGUGCACACUAUCUCCCUAAUCUCAGUAUCAGCAAAUGUUAUCUAGAGGUUUAUAGGUGUUGCUGAAACCAUACGCUUUCUGCUCCCACAUCCUGGCUUGAGGUAUGGUUAGCAAGUAAUCUCUAAAAGAUCAGAUAGACUACUUUUUGACAGAACUUGUUUUAAUUUGAAUGAUCCAGAAGUACAGGCAGAAAAAGUCAAAGAUUAUUUUGUGAUUAUUAACAAUUUAUGAAUAUUUAACAUAAUACUACAUUGGACAUAGAUUUACUUUGCUGUCUUAAAAGUACUUUCAUAUACAAGCCUAGAAAUACAUUUGGUCCAACUCUGGAAAACUUAUACUGAAGUCCUUAGAGCAGAUAGCUCUGCAGCUGCUGAAUUUAAGUCCUGUCUUGGUCAGGGGAGAGAAAGGGCCAGCAUGAACUAAUAUUGGAAGAUAGUAAGUGGGAAUCUCUUCUGAGUAAUUCCACAGAGGGCCCACGUCCUCUGUGCAUAUUUGAGUGUCUUAUAGUAACCUCUUAGGCUGGUAGUGAAAACAUUAGGAAAUUGCUGCGCUUGGAAAAUUCUCUAUAUCUACUUGUUUUUGUUGUUUAAGUAGAUAAAGCAGUUAGACUGCUAUUAGAGGUAACUGGCUUUAUAAUUUCAAUUUGUCAAAAUUAAUCUCUUUUGAGUUAUACAAACAUACACACAAAUGCAAAUCUGCCAAAAAUAUUUUUAACUAAUUAAAAAAUUUAUUAAUCAUUUUUUUUUUUUUAGAUUUUAUUUAUUUAUUUAUUUUCCCCCCAAAGCCCCAGUAGAUAGUUGUAUGUCAUAGCUGCACAUCCUUCUAGUUGCUGUAUGCGGGACGCGGCCUCAGCAUGGCCGGAGAAACGGUGUGUCUGUGCGCGCCUGGGAUCCGAACCCGGGCCGGAGCAGCGGAGCUCGCGCACUUAACCGCUAAGCCACGGGGCCGGCCCCUAUUAAUCAUUUUUUACCUAAAAGUCCCCCAAGAGUGAAUGUAAACUUGCAAAUUAGAUCUUAAAGAGGAUUUAAAGAAAAAUCUCAUGGAGGUCUCAAACCACAAGAGAUAAUUUUUUAACCCAAAAAUUCAUCUAGCCUUAGAAGCAUUUGAAAAGUACUAAUUUCCUUUUGGGAAUUUCCAUAUGAAACACCACUAUUCUCAUAUUCCAUCUUGCUUGUAUUUUUAAACAUGAAAUGGCAGAUUUGGUGAAAUACGAAAGGAACUAAAUGUUUUAAAAUUUUGGAUGGAAGGUUUCUUUUUGAGAGGGAGGGGAUUUUUGAUUUUACAACUAUUUUCAGAUUUACUUCGGAUGUAGCUCCAAGAUUAUAGAGAGUGAAAAAUCAGAAAGUGAGACUCCAUUAACUUAGUGAUAGACUAUCCUCUACAUAGAGGUCAACACCUCUCUCCCCAUGGUGGGGCACAUUGGUUGCUAGCAGCAGAGACCAACUCUUUCUGACUUAAGCAUAUAAAGACUUUGUAGGAAGGAUGCUAGAUAGCUCACAGAUUCCAAGGAAUUGCUGAAUCACCAAACCUCUGGAAGGACAGGAGCUGGAACAGCUGCAGUGAACUGUCAGGAAUUCGCUGACAGUGUCUUCUCCGGACAGUGCCCUUGGAAAAACUCAGCUCCAAUGGCUUCCAUCUGUUUUUCAUGCUGUUAUAAAUAGAUGCAGCCUCCCAGGAAAGAAAGUCCAAUUGGUCUGGCCUGGGUCACAUGGCCUUCUUUCAGCACCCUUGAGAUAAUCCCGUGGGACUAGAAAAAUGGGGAGGGAUAUGGUCCUUCAAAGGAAAAGUUGACGUUGUUUCCAAGAGAAGGGGUAAGGGCGACUGGGCCAGCAUCCCCUGUACUGUGGCAAAGCAGAACCACAAAAAGGAGUUUUAUUUCCUGCUGCCCCUUGAGCCUUGUCAUCUAACACAAAGUCAACAUGAAUGCAGGUAAAAAGACAAUAUGCUGAUUAAAAAUCUGCUUCUUUAUCAUGCUUUUUAUGUUCUUCUUCUGAUGUUUUUAUAUGGAUUCUCAGUGGAAAAUUCUGGUAGGAAAGGCACUGAGCUGAAGGAAAGGCAUAGAUUGGGACGGUUGGGUGGCCAAAGCAAGCUGACAACAAUGACAUCUCCUUCUUUCUCAGACAUACAUCCCUCUUGUUAGAAGAACUUAAUAAAACAAGCCCAAUCUACUUUCUGCUUAUUUUCCACCCAUAAUUAUAAGAAUAACAUGCACUAUAAUUCAUGCAAAUUAUCUGCAAAUCUUAAUAAGAGUAACUACAAACCAGUGCAAUCAACAUUCUAUACAUACUUACCUUGACACUGGGAAUUACCAUGUAUUUAAGUGUAACGACAUAAACUCUUCCUGUCUGAUUAUAGUCACAUAAUCAGAUGGUUUCUAUAUCAGACAUGCAUUUAAUUAAAACAAUGUGUCAAUGGUGGGUAUAUAGGAAAUGAUUUAGAUAAUUAAUGAUAAACACUGACUUUACAAACAACUUUAUUUUUAUAUACUCCCAUCCUCCGUCCACUCUAUCCAGAGUUCUGAGGUUCUUGUCUUUUGUGAAGAACAGUCUCGAACAAUAUACAUAUUUCUUUUAGGAAAAGUCCCCACAAUUUGGCUGACUUAUAGGCAAAGGUGGAUUUACUUUGAAGAAAAUGAAGCUUUAGUUUUAGUACUCCUCACUUAUAUGGACUCCUUCCAAGACCCUGUAGCUAACUUUGUAUUUUUGUAGAAUUUUUUCUUAAAAAAGAAUCCCUGAAAUUGUAUUACUUUAGGCCUCAGAAAACCUGGAUCUGCCCUGCUUAUAUAUUUUGUGUAUGUAACCAACAUAAUGUCAGCUAUCCCUUCAGCCAUGCCCUGAUUAUGUUUCAGGGCUGCACCAACGCAGAUUUAGAACAUUGUACAUUCAAUGGUUUUGUCAAGAAAUCCAAUAAACAUGGAAGAUUUUUGU